rnacentral:tRNA from 1 species
GCCCGAGUGGCGGAAUGGUAGACGCAGGGGAUUCAAAAUCCCCCGAUGGCAACAUCGUGUGGGUUCGAGUCCCACCUCGGGCACCA